CCGUCUGCCGGCCAGGGGCUCUCGGCAGAAGGCGCGGAAGUUCCGCUCGUGCUCAAGUCCCCGCACAGGCUUUUCCUGGGGGACAGUUGAGUGGCUUCGCGCGGACUACUUCCCGUACGAAGCUAGUUCCGGCAGCAGCCAUUCGGCUAUUCGCUGCGUCCGCCACCGCCAUUUCAGGAGCUGCCGUCUCAGCGCCUCUGGAUCUUGAGUAGUCCCGUGUCGCCCGCUUCAGACGAGUGAGCCUCUUCUCACUCGCGGCCCCUCUGCUACCUCCACCAGAGCUUCACCCGCCCCCUUUCCCGAUGGCGACCUCCGUGGGGAACGUGGCCGACAGCACAGGGUUAGCGGAGUUGGCUCAUCGUGAGUAUCAGGCAGGAGACUUUGAAGCAGCAGAGAGACACUGCAUGCAGCUUUGGAGACAAGAGCCUGAUAAUACUGGUGUGCUUUUAUUACUGUCAUCCAUUCACUUCCAGUGUCGCAGACUGGACAGAUCUGCUCACUUCAGCACUUUGGCCAUAAAACAAAAUCCACUGUUGGCUGAAGCCUACUCAAACCUUGGCAAUGUCUACAAGGAGCGUGGACAGCUACAAGAAGCAAUUGAACAUUACAGACAUGCACUGCGCCUCAAGCCAGAUUUCAUUGAUGGAUAUAUUAAUUUAGCUGCUGCCCUGGUAGCAGCAGGUGAUAUGGAAGGAGCAGUACAGGCAUAUGUGUCUGCCCUUCAGUACAACCCUGACUUGUACUGUGUUCGUAGUGACCUGGGGAACCUGCUCAAAGCCCUGGGUCGCUUGGAAGAAGCCAAGGCCUGUUACUUAAAAGCAAUUGAGACUCAACCAAACUUUGCAGUGGCUUGGAGUAAUCUUGGCUGUGUUUUCAAUGCCCAAGGAGAAAUUUGGCUUGCUAUUCAUCACUUUGAAAAGGCUGUAACACUUGACCCAAAUUUUCUGGAUGCUUACAUCAAUCUGGGAAAUGUCCUGAAAGAGGCAAGGAUAUUUGACAGAGCUGUAGCAGCUUAUCUACGAGCCUUGAGUUUGAGUCCAAAUCACGCAGUUGUGCAUGGCAACCUUGCCUGUGUGUAUUAUGAGCAAGGACUUAUAGACCUGGCGAUAGACACCUACAGGAGAGCUAUUGAACUACAACCGCACUUCCCUGAUGCCUAUUGUAACUUGGCCAACGCAUUGAAGGAGAAAGGCAGUGUGGUAGAAGCAGAAGAAUGCUACAAUACAGCUCUUCGACUUUGUCCCACUCAUGCAGAUUCUCUCAACAAUCUGGCAAACAUCAAACGGGAGCAGGGAAAUAUUGAGGAAGCUGUUCGUCUGUAUCGGAAGGCUCUUGAGGUGUUUCCAGAGUUUGCUGCUGCACAUUCAAAUUUAGCAAGUGUUCUGCAGCAGCAGGGGAAGUUACAGGAAGCUCUGAUGCAUUACAAAGAAGCUAUUAGGAUCAGCCCCACAUUUGCAGAUGCUUAUUCCAAUAUGGGAAAUACUUUAAAGGAGAUGCAGGAUGUUCAAGGAGCUCUACAGUGCUACACCCGUGCCAUUCAGAUAAACCCAGCUUUCGCUGAUGCCCACAGCAACCUGGCUUCUAUUCACAAGGAUUCGGGGAAUAUUCCAGAAGCCAUUGCUUCUUAUCGCACUGCUCUGAAACUGAAACCUGAUUUUCCAGAUGCUUACUGUAACUUGGCCCACUGUUUGCAGAUUGUCUGUGACUGGACAGACUAUGAUGAAAGAAUGAAGAAGCUGGUUAGCAUUGUAGCUGAUCAGCUGGAGAAAAACAGACUGCCUUCUGUCCACCCACAUCAUAGUAUGCUGUAUCCCCUUUCUCACAGUUUCAGGAAGGCUAUUGCUGAGAGACAUGGAAAUCUGUGUUUGGACAAGAUUAAUGUUCUUCACAAGCCACCUUAUGAGCAUCCCAAGGAUUUGAAGGCCAGUGAAGGUAGACUUCGUAUUGGCUAUGUGAGCUCUGAUUUUGGAAACCAUCCAACCUCACACCUUAUGCAGUCAAUCCCAGGCAUGCAUAAUCCAGACAAAUUUGAGGUGUUCUGUUACGCCCUGAGUCCUGAUGAUGGUACAAACUUCCGUGUAAAAGUGAUGGCUGAAGCAAAUCAUUUCAUUGACUUAUCUCAGAUACCAUGUAAUGGAAAAGCAGCAGACCGCAUCCAUCAGGACGGGAUACACAUUCUUAUUAAUAUGAAUGGCUACACUAAAGGAGCCCGAAAUGAAUUAUUUGCCCUGAGACCAGCACCUAUUCAGGCCAUGUGGCUAGGGUAUCCUGGAACCAGUGGGGCAUUGUUCAUGGACUAUAUCAUCACAGACAAAGAAACUUCCCCAGUUGAGGUGGCUGAGCAGUAUUCAGAGAAAUUAGCAUACAUGCCAAACACUUUCUUUAUUGGAGAUCAUGCCAACAUGUUCCCCCAUUUAAAGAAAAAAGCAGUCAUUGAUUUCAAGUCCAAUGGUCACAUUUAUGAUAACAGAAUUGUUUUGAAUGGCAUUGACUUGAAGGCUUUCCUUGACAGUCUCCCUGAUGUCAAGAUUGUUAAGAUGAAGUGUCCUGAUGGUUGUGACAAUGCAGAUGGUAAUGCUGCCCUCAGUAUGCCAGUCAUUCCUAUGAACACAAUUGCAGAAGCUGUCAUUGAGAUGAUUAACCGUGGGCAAAUUCAGAUAACUAUCAAUGGAUUCAACAUCAGUAAUGGAUUAGCAACUACUCAGAUUAACAACAAAGCAGCAACUGGUGAAGAAGUUCCACGAACUAUAAUUGUUACUACACGUUCUCAGUAUGGCUUACCAGAAGAUGCUGUUGUGUACUGUAACUUUAAUCAGCUGUAUAAGAUUGAUCCUUCCACUUUACAGAUGUGGGCUAAUAUCCUAAAAAGAGUUCCGAACAGUGUGCUGUGGCUGCUACGCUUCCCAGCUGUAGGAGAACCCAAUAUUCAGCAAUAUGCACAAAACUUGGGUCUUUCCCAAAACCGAAUCAUCUUUUCUCCUGUUGCCCCCAAAGAAGAACAUGUGAGGAGAGGGCAAUUGGCUGAUGUCUGUCUGGACACUCCGCUUUGCAAUGGGCACACAACUGGAAUGGAUGUACUCUGGGCUGGGACUCCAAUGGUCACAAUGCCAGGUAUUACAGUGAGGAACCUACAAAGAGCACAUAGGCGAGACUCUUGCAUCACGAGUUGCUGCCUCCCAGCUUACUUGCCUGGGUUGUCUUGAGCUCAUUGCAAAAAGUAGACAGGAAUAUGAGGAUAUUGCUGUGAAACUGGGAACUGAUCUGGAAUACCUGAAAAAAAUACGUGGCAAGGUCUGGAAGCAGAGAAUAUCCAGUUCUUUGUUCAACACAAAGCAGUACACAAUGGACCUGGAGCGGCUUUAUCUUCAGAUGUGGGAUCACUAUGCUGCUGGCAACAAACCAGACCAUAUGAUUAAGCCAGUAGAGGCCAGUGACUCUGCGUGAAGAGAGACUGUGUGUGCCCACCCAAAACUCCCCAGAAACUGAGCCUCUCAAACAUUUCUGCAGAAAUGAUGAGCUAAAAACUGUGCAUUUCUACUUGAUCUGCCUGGUACUCUGUGGCUGAAGUAAUACAUGAUGUUGAUUAAAGCACAGCCAGACUUACUUCUUGCAUGAUAGGGAAAGACUCAGUAGAGCCUGGAAUCCUUUUAUUCCAUGAGUAAUUGGAAUGGGAUUGAGCCAUGUACAUGUGAGCCUGUGUGUAUGAACGGCAUAGUGGUUGCUAGGGGAAGCUUAAACUGCCCAACCAAUUAUAAUUUCAUGGGUUGAUAUAAUCAUCUUAUGAAUCUCCUUUUAUGUGGAUUGGAACUUGGAACAUUUUAACAUUUAUUUUGGGUACUCCUCUUGAUAUAUGUGUGGUUCUCCAUUGACAAGAUUUCCAGCUAGUGAGUGUUGCUCCCUGCAUUAAUUUCUAAACUGUGGACUGAAAGGGCGUAUUUGCUGGUGUAGUCUUUUUUUAUAGGUUUUAUAAACCACUUGAGCCUAUAUCAGCCUUUUAAUGUUUGACCUGUUUUGGAGCUCUCUGUAAACUGUUGGUUUAGGUAAGGACUCUGGUUUUGGGUUUGUUUGUUUGUUUGUUUGUUUGUUUGUUUGUUUGUUUUGAAGCUUCUCCAGUAACUCACUUUAUUGGCUUCAUGAUGGCAGCUCAUAUUCUGUUGAAAACCCAAAUUUUAUUUGAAAUUAAUUCUCCCUACAGAUAAACAAAAACUGGUGCCAAAUUACAGAUCUUUCAGGAAUGAUUGUUAAUUAUGUAUAGAAGUGCAGUCCUAGGUGCUGUAGCAAAGACUUAAAAAAAAAAAAAUAAAGCUUUGGUUUGCCAGUUUGA